GACGUAGGGCGCGAGCGUUGUCCGGAUUUAUUGGGCGUAAAGAGCUCGUAGGCGGCUUGUUGCGUCGGCUGUGAAAACCCGAGGCUCAACCUCGGGCCUGCAGUCGAUACGGGCAGACUAGAGUUCGGUAGGGGAGACUGGAAUUCCUGGUGUAGCGGUGAAAUGCGCAGAUAUCAGGAGGAACACCGGUGGCGAAGGCGGGUCUCUGGGCCGAAACUGACGCUGAGGAGCGAAAGCGUGGGGAGCGAACAGG
rnacentral:rRNA from 1 species